UAUUAUUUGUAGAAUAUUUUCUCCAAGGUAUAAUUACGUGAAUAUUUUUUGUUACAUCUUUAUCGUAAUAAUGAAUAUUGAAAAAUCAGUUCAUCUUUCGUAAUUGCCCGCCAAAUUGCUUGCUCACUUAGAGGCGUUCUAUUCCGAUUCCGCGUUCCAGCGUUUGUGGUAGCUACGAAAAAUCAAGACGCGGAACGUUACACUCCGAAUUAUUCGCAAGUUUGACUAUUUAUACAUGGGCAGACGUCGUUUCUACAGGGUCGUGUGUCAGCGUCGUCAUCUUCCCUCCAUUUCGAAAGAUCGUCAAACAUGAGAAUUAUCGUGAAUUCAUCUGCAUCAAGGUUCUCACGGUGUCGUUACGAGGAGGUGUUCGCCUGUAAACUGCACAUUUCGACCGACGAUGGCCAGCCUGAAUGCUAGCACCAGCGACGACACUAAGAAACACAAGUAACACGUAUGUUUUUCGACCUAUGUAUUUACAAAUAUAGGGCCCAGGGAUUGGUGGGUUUGUACUUUACUUGCGGAACAGCAUGGCUUUAUAGUUGGUAUAUCAAUCUGAAGCAUAGUUUCAGUAACGUGGACGCCGAGAAUUAUAUUAAGUGUAUCAAUAAUAUAUUUGUAUUCAUAAAAUUCGUUGUCGCGGCAAAAAUACCGCAAUCAUCGAUCGAUUUACAUAAUCGUUUAAAAUCGCGAAAUACACCGUUCAAGAUAAUUGCAGGAUUCCCUUUUUCGUUUUGUUUUUUUUCUCAACGUUUGGUAUGUUUUCCUCGCGAUCCUCUAAUCAGUUUGAACGAUGCAAUUCGUUAUUCUAUGUACAAGUAAGUACUGGCCCGGGUCCCGUUCGCGCAGAAAAAUCUUGCCUACUUAUUUAACAUUUACACUUUUGUCCCCGCCUUAUUCGCUAAUACGUGAUAUUUCGGUACAAGAUGAAGUGCCCCGUGAUUCGCACCCACACGCAACUGGGAAUCGAAUUAAAUAGAAUACAUCUACAAUUGCACGUGUCCGAGGUCGCUACCUAAAUACGAUCAACAAUUAUUAACCAUAAAAUAAAAUACUGGCCAUUUAUUGACUACCUCGAUAAUCCUUCGAUAACAAGAAUACCUAACAAAGCAUAAGUGUACAUGAAAUCGCUAACAUCGCCUUCGUCGCGAUGCUUGCAACGGUGUAAAAAAUAAGGGACGCGUUCGACGUUACGCUUAACAAGAAUAUCUUAAGAAAACAUACAUAUUUACAGUCUCUAUAUACAUACAACAAUCGUAGAUUCGAGUAUACUUAGGGUGAAGACAAUAACUUUGUCAUCUUGAAUAUUUCCGUUAGUUGUAAUGCAGUGAUGAAAUUUAUCACGACGAACUUGCACUGUUUCGAGGAGCACUUAUAGCGGCAGAACAUAAUUUUUUCCAAGGUCAUUUUUUACGAGAUUUCAAGGUCAUCAAUGGUUUUCUUUAACGAAACACUAUAUUUUUUAAAUCUUCUUUCAGUUUUUGAAUAAAUAACAGAAACAUUCAAAGUGGACGAAGUUAUUGAUUUAUCCUGUUUAACGACACGAUUGUUGAUUUCGUUAACGCUCUGGGGUGGGACGUUGAAUACUGUACAUUAUUCGUUGUAUCGAAAUUGUCAUGGAUCACUCUCUUGCUAGAAACAAGAGUCAAGGAGAUCUCGGCUAGGAUAUUUCAAAGGCAGGCCCUAUCACAGGGUAAAUCAGCCUCAAAUUUAUAGAAAUCUAAAUUCUUCUGGGGAUGAAACUCAGCACUACUAACUCUUCGCAUUGAAAAUUAUUGCUUAUUAUAAAAAGAAAGACUUCUUAACAUACCGGGGACUUUUAAAAGGGCGUGGAGGCCUCUGAAAUGUUCCUCUCCGAAUUGAGCGAGCCUUGGAUGGUCUGUUCAGCGUGCUAAAAGCAAAUCUGUGUUCGAAGCGUCUAGGUUCGGUCUCAACGGCUGAGAAAGUAUCGUCCAGGCGUUUACCAGGAAGGAUCCCGUCGGUCCGUGAGUAGGAGCACAGGAAUUUCACCCGAAAUCCCCGUGCUCUCCGUAAUCGCGAGAUUCGUCAUGGAUUCCAGCGGAUACGGCCAAAGGGAGGGGGGUCGGGGUCGGGGUAGGGGGUGGACAGGUCGCGAUUCUCAUAUCGGCGGAGAUUCUUCGCGGCGUCGAGGGCAAAUACGCUUGGGACAAAAGCAGAGAAGAGGCGGCGGAGUGGCGGCGACGGAGGCGUUUACAUUGGCAGGCGUCGAACGCUUGUAAGAUAAAGCGGUUGGCAACGUUCUACACGUGUACGCCGGUUUGUAACGCACGUUCCGAACACGUGCACCCCGCAGUUUGACGUGUUUAUCAACCGAUGCACCGAUGUUGUUCUCCCUCUUCUGCGAACGCGUCUUCUCCUUCUCUCUUUCUUCCUCUCUUGUGCGAUUACCGCGCGAGCGCGCGCUCGUUAAUUAAAGCGGAGGACUCUCGUUAAAGUCGAUUGGCUUUUGCGCAACCAGCCAUCGAUCGGCGACUCGCGAUCCUCACCGUGAUUACCCGGAAUUGAGACGUUAAUCCUUCAUUCUUCCCAACCGCCACGGAUAUUUACGCGAGAUUGCGCUCUAGCCAAGCGCAUUUAACGAUUCGGGCGCGAAUGAUUUGUCUCCGUGAGAACGAUCGGGUAAUUCCUGAUCGGGCAAGAAUGCAGUUAAGGAUAACGCACGGUUCUGGGAAUCGUUGCGCGACCAUCGAGUACCCGCCGAGUUCGAGAAAAACAGGGAAUCGUAUGGCUACAGGCGCGAAGCAACGCGAAUCGAUGGAUCUCGAGUGAAA